CUGACCCGUACUGAUAUACCACUGAUCACACAUCCAAUCAAGGGCUUCCUGGAUUGUCACUACGCAUGAGUGCAACAGUGAUGUAUGCUAACUCGAUGCUCGUGCUCCUGCCUGCGUUGCCGACUUGACCAAAAGGAGCAAGGAACUGGAUCUCCGGUUCUUCUUGAAUGGCAGUUAGGCUGCCCACUAAUCCAGAUCCUUUCUUCUCUCUCAUGCAAGACCAGAAGAUUCUUCAGACUGGAUCAUGGACACCUAUUACCCAGGUAAGA